CGAGAGAAAGGUCGAGAGGGUCUGUGGUGGCGGUUUUCUGUGGUGAAAACUUUGUCCGUGCAGGAGGCCGCUUUCCCCCACCUAGUCCUUUUAAGGAUACUGACUUAGCGAAUUCCCUAAUUGCCUCAACUUUCAGUCUCCUUAGAGGAAAAGCCUGGCUUUCUAAAUGUCCUGUCUGACACGAAAGAGAUGUCUGUGUGCCCCUGUGUGCUCUUUCCACCGAUAAUUUUGGAGAUCAUUCCAUAUCAGUCAGUCUGGUGGAUAUUGCAUGGUUGAACAUCUGGGAAUGCUGUUCUUUACUGUCCAGAGAAUCAGCAGAAGAGGAGAUGGGCCCCAGGUGUCCUGCAGCCCACUGCAUCUCAAGAAACCACAGUAAAAUCUCUCCCAUGGUGUUCGCCUCUCCUUCUGCCUCCUGAAGACCCUCGUGCUUCCCUCAUGGCACAUGGCAUGCCCCUUCUUCUUG